rnacentral:rRNA from 1 species
GACGAACGCUGGCGGCGUGCUUAACACAUGCAAGUCGAACGGAAAGGCCCUGCUUUUGUGGGGUGCUCGAGUGGCGAACGGGUGAGUAACACGUGAGUAACCUGCCCUUGACUUUGGGAUAACUUCAGGAAACUGGGGCUAAUACCGGAUAGGAGCUCCUGCUGCAUGGUGGGGGUUGGAAAGUUUCGGCGGUUGGGGAUGGACUCGCGGCUUAUCAGCUUGUUGGUGGGGUAGUGGCUUACCAAGGCUUUGACGGGUAGCCGGCCUGAGAGGGUGACCGGCCACAUUGGGACUGAGAUACGGCCCAGACUCCUACGGGAGGCAGCAGUGGAGAAUAUUGCACAAUGGGCGGAAGCCUGAUGCAGCAACGCCGCGUGCGGGAUGACGGCCUUCGGGUUGUAAACCGCUUUCGCAUGUGACGAAGCGUGAGUGACGGUAAUGGGUAAAGAAGCACCGGCUAACUACGUG